CCCUGCUUUUGUGGGGUGCUCGAGUGGCGAACGGGUGAGUAACACGUGAGUAACCUGCCCUUGACUUUGGGAUAACUUCAGGAAACUGGGGCUAAUACCGGAUAGGAGCUCCUGCUGCAUGGUGGGGGUUGGAAAGUUUCGGCGGUUGGGGAUGGACUCGCGGCUUAUCAGCUUGUUGGUGGGGUAGUGGCUUACCAAGGCUUUGACGGGUAGCCGGCCUGAGAGGGUGACCGGCCACAUUGGGACUGAGAUACGGCCCAGACUCCUACGGGAGGCAGCAGUGGGGAAUAUUGCACAAUGGGCGGAAGCCUGAUGCAGCAACGCCGCGUGCGGGAUGACGGCCUUCGGGUUGUAAACCGCUUUCGCCUGUGACGAAGCGUGAGUGACGGUAAUGGGUAAAGAAGCACCGGCUAACUACGUGCCAGCAGCCGCGGUGAUACGUAGGGUGCGAGCGUUGUCCGGAUUUAUUGGGCGUAAAGGGCUCGUAGGUGGUUGAUCGCGUCGGAAGUGUAAUCUUGGGGCUUAACCCUGAGCGUGCUUUCAAUACGGGUUGACUUGAGGAAGGUAGGGGAGAAUGGAAUUCCUGGUGGAGCGGUGGAAUGCGCAGAUAUCAGGAGGAACACCAGUGGCGAAGGCGGUUCUCUGGGCCUUUCCUGACGCUGAGGAGCGAAAGCGUGGGGAGCGAACAGGCUUAGAUACCCUGGUAGUCCACGCUGUAAACGGUGGGUACUAGGUGUGGGGUCCAUUCCACGGGUUCCGUGCCGUAGCUAACGCUUUAAGUACCCCGCCUGGGGAGUACGGCCGCAAGGCUAAAACUCAAAGGAAUUGACGGGGCCCCGCACAAGCGGCGGAGCAUGCGGAUUAAUUCGAUGCAACGCGUAGAACCUUACCUGGGUUUGACAUGGAUCGGGAGUGCUCAGAGAUGGGUGUGCCUCUUUUGGGGUCGGUUCACAGGUGGUGCAUGGCUGUCGUCAGCUCGUGUCGUGAGAUGUUGGGUUAAGUCCCGCAACGAGCGCAACCCUUGUUCACUGUUGCCAGCACGUUAUGGUGGGGACUCAGUGGAGACCGCCGGGGUCAAC
rnacentral:rRNA from 1 species